rnacentral:rRNA from 1 species
UACGUAGGGUGCAAGCGUUGCUCGGAAUCAUUGGGCGUAAAGAGCGUGUAGGCGGUUCGGUAAGUCGGCUGUGAAAGUCCAGGGCUCAACCCUGGGAUGCCGGUCGAUACUGCCGGACUAGAGUUCGGAAGAGGCGAGUGGAAUUCCCGGUGUAGCGGUGAAAUGCGCAGAUAUCGGGAGGAACACCUAUGGCGAAGGCAGCUCGCUGGGACGUUACUGACGCUGAGACGCGAAAGCGUGGGGAGCAAACAGG